GAAGAGAUACAAAAAGCAGAGACUGGAUGAUCUAGAUUGCACUAAGCCAACGACGUCAGCAGUUAGACAUGAAGAUUCUUCUUCUAAUCCUGCCCCUACUGCAACUGCCCUUCUUAACAAGGAGCGAGAGAAACUGACUUUUCUUAAGGAGAAACUGGAGUGGCAAAAGAAGAGAAUUGAAGAACUGGAAGGAGAGAGAGAUUUUCUCCGAAGUCAGCUAUCAUCCCUUACAAAGCAACCUAAAGACGAACCAUUCAAUGAUCCAUUUUCCUCGAAGGCUUCUGAAAACUCAGAUUCAUCUUUCGCAUCUUCAUCUGUAUCGUCUGUGUGGUCAUCCUCAUCUUCAUCCCCAAAGAAGCGAAAGCACAAAUACAACAAAAAGCAUUCAAGAGCCAAGAAACCCAAGAAGGAGCAGAAGAAGCUCCGGC